rnacentral:ncRNA from 2 species
ACGCCUGAGGAGCGUUGCGACGGGUCGCGCGAUAGCGCCGCCCGCCAGGCUCAGGCCUCUGGUUCGGCUGCCGCGCAAGGCGCGGCGGCAUGCAACGGCGCUCACCUUUG